GUCUUUUUGAUAAUAAUUUAAAGUCCAACCUGCCCAAUGAGGUUUUUAAUGGCCGCAGUAUUUUGACUGUGCAAAGGUAGCAUAAUCAUUAGUUUUUUAAUUGAAAGCUGGAAUGAAGGGUUAGACGAAAAAAUAACUGUCUUUAUUAUAAUUAUUUAGAAUUUUAUUAUUAAGUUAAAAAGCUUAAAUUAUUUUUAAAGACGAGAAGACCCUAUAGAGCUUUACUAUAAAUUAAUAAUUUUUUAAUUAGAAUAGUAAGAUAAAUUAUAAAUUUAUAGUUUAAUUGGGGUGAUUGAAAAAUUUAAUUAACUUUUUUUUUAUAAAAACAUAGAUUUAUGAUUUAUUGAUCCAUAUAUAAUGAUUAAAUGAAAAAGUUACCUUAGGGAUAACAGCGUAAUUUUUUUUGAGAGUUCAUAUUGAUAAAGAAGAUUGCGACCUCGAUGUUGGAUUAAAAUUAAUAUUAGGUGUAGAAGCUUAAUAAUUAGGUCUGUUCGACCUUUAAAAUUUUACA
rnacentral:rRNA from 1 species